UGGGGAAUUUUGGACAAUGGGGGAAACCCUGAUCCAGCCAUCCCGCGUGUGCGAUGAAGGCCUUCGGGUUGUAAAGCACUUUUUGCAGGAAAGAAACGUCAUGGGUUAAUACCCCGUGAAACUGACGGUACCUGCAGACUAAGCACCGGCUAACUACGUGCCAGCAGCCGCGGUAAUACGUAGGGUGCAAGCGUUAAUCGGAAUUACUGGGCGUAAAGCGUGCGCAGGCGGUUCGGAAAGAAAGAUGUGAAAUCCCAGAGCUCAACGAUGGAACUGCAUUUUUAGCUACCGGGCUAGAGUGUGUCAGAGGGAGGUGGAAUUCCGCGUGUAGCAGUGAAAUGCGUAGAUAUGCGGAGGAACACCGAUGGCGAAGGCAGCCUCCUGGGAUAACACUGACGCUCAUGCACGAAAGCGUGGGGAGCAAACAGG
rnacentral:rRNA from 1 species